rnacentral:lncRNA from 1 species
UUGAAGAGAGGACUUUCCCUCCAUAGAUCUGUGCAACUUCCAUCGAUUUCUCAGGUUUUUAUCUCUGUAAGUAUACCGUUUCUGCACUUUCUGAGGAGUGAAUCUUUGCUAUGAAUGUGCUCAGGUUGAUGCCACUGUUUUACGUUUCUGUUUGGUGAAAUAUUUCGUGGGUUUGGACUGGGUUCUGAGGUAGGGAUUUAGGCUUUCUAUAUGAUUUCAUCCGGUGAAUCUAUGAG